UUUUCAAAUCUUUUUUUUUCUCUACAUUAGAAAAAUAAUUUUUGCUGACUAUUGUCUUUUACUUGAUAAGUAGAUGUCUAAUUUUAUAGAAGGAGAAUUUAUGCACACACACAUCGACAUCAAAGCAUUAGGUUCUCUAGAGCAAGCACGAAAAACAGGGGAGUCACACUGCACAAAUAUGGACAUGUGAAGCUCAGAUAGUGCAGUUCUCAGAAAUAAGUGACUAACCACUUAUAUCACAAUAAUCAUGCUAGCUGCAAGGUCUAAUGAGCAAGGUAAACAUGUAUAUCUAUUUUGGAUUGAUUGACAGACAGAUGGAAGCUACAAGAUCUAAUAAGCAUAACUUAACUCUCCCCAUCCCUCUUAUGUUACGUGGUUUACUCUUUCAAAUUGACAAAACUUAUUUUUUAGAACCUAUUAUUAUGAUGAUACUGCUAUAAAGUGUAAUGGAAGGGACCAAACACUAAUCGGUCUCUUCUUUGGAACAGAGGAAAUAUCAGUGUCAUUCUCAUAUUAAAGGUAUGCUCUUUGCCAAAUUUUGUUGCACCAUUUUUUAUUUUUAUCGAGUUAUAAAUAUAGCAUUGACAGGUAAGUAAAAUAAGUUUAACUGCCAUGAUCUGUCAAAAUUUUUAAUAGAUUUAAGCUUUUACAAUGAAAUGUACAAUUUAAUUUAGACCAUUGAUUAGCAAUUGUCAAUUUUUAUACGAAUUCAGUUUGUUCUCACAAAAGUAUUAUAACACUUCUAAUAGGCUUUAAAGGUAUUAAAUUUUAACUUUUAAGUGCCUAAUUAUUAUCAAACACCUCUUUUGCUACAUUAUAAAAAUUAUUGUAAUGUGCAAUCUUCAUUACGUUUGCUUAUUAUAAGUUCAUGAUGAGAUUUUCAAUGGAAAAUGGAAGACAAAGAUUUUUAGUGGUGAUUUGGUGCGAGAUAGAUUGACAAAUUGAAGCAAGCAAUAAAAAUUGAACUUAGAUUUGUGUUCGAGGAAAAUUAUGAUAUUGGUGCAUGAUACCACCAUUCCUUCAGGCAGAUAUGUUAUCAAUUUUAUAUAUGUUAUAAAUAGAACUCUAAUUAUAGUGAAUGUCUAUCUAAUAGAAGAGUUUUAUUUUGAGGCUAAGUCUUUUCUAUGCCUAUAAAUA
rnacentral:lncRNA from 1 species